UCUGGUGGCGAGUGGCGAACGGGUGAGUAAUAUAUCGGAACGUACCCUAGAGUGGGGGAUAACGUAGCGAAAGUUACGCUAAUACCGCAUACGAUCUAAGGAUGAAAGUGGGGGAUCGCAAGACCUCAUGCUCGUGGAGCGGCCGAUAUCUGAUUAGCUAGUUGGUAGGGUAAAAGCCUACCAAGGCAUCGAUCAGUAGCUGGUCUGAGAGGACGACCAGCCACACUGGAACUGAGACACGGUCCAGACUCCUACGGGAGGCAGCAGUGGGGAAUUUUGGACAAUGGGCGAAAGCCUGAUCCAGCAAUGCCGCGUGAGUGAAGAAGGCCUUCGGGUUGUAAAGCUCUUUUGUCAGGGAAGAAACGGUGAGAGCUAAUAUCUCUUGCUAAUGACGGUACCUGAAGAAUAAGCACCGGCUAACUACGUGCCAGCAGCCGCGGUAAUACGUAGGGUGCAAGCGUUAAUCGGAAUUACUGGGCGUAAAGCGUGCGCAGGCGGUUUUGUAAGUCUGAUGUGAAAUCCCCGGGCUCAACCUGGGAAUUGCAUUGGAGACUGCAAGGCUAGAAUCUGGCAGAGGGGGGUAGAAUUCCACGUGUAGCAGUGAAAUGCGUAGAUAUGUGGAGGAACACCGAUGGCGAAGGCAGCCCCCUGGGUCAAGAUUGACGCUCAUGCACGAAAGCGUGGGGAGCAAACAGGAUUAGAUACCCUGGUAGUCCACGCCCUAAACGAUGUCUAC
rnacentral:rRNA from 1 species